rnacentral:rRNA from 1 species
GACGAACGCUGGCGGCGUGCCUAAUACAUGCAAGUUGAGCGCUGAAGGUUGGUACUUGUACCAACUGGAUGAGCAGCGAACGGGUGAGUAACGCGUGGGGAAUCUGCCUUUGAGCGGGGGACAACAUUUGGAAACGAAUGCUAAUACCGCAUAAAAACUUUAAACACAAGUUUUAAGUUUGAAAGAUGCAAUUGCAUCACUCAAAGAUGAUCCCGCGUUGUAUUAGCUAGUUGGUGAGGUAAAGGCUCACCAAGGCGAUGAUACAUAGCCGACCUGAGAGGGUGAUCGGCCACAUUGGGACUGAGACACGCCCCAACCCCCUACGGGAGGCAGCAGUAGGGAAUCUUCGGCAAUGGACGAAAGUCUGACCGAGCAACGCCGCGUGAGUGAAGAAGGUUUUCGGAUCGUAAAACUCGGUUGGUAGAGAAGAACGUUGGUGAGAGUGGAAAGCUCAUCAAGUGACGGUAACUACCCAGAAAGGGACGGCUAACUACGUG